rnacentral:rRNA from 1 species
CCGUAGCCCAAGAGAUCGGGAUAACACCUGGAAACAGAUGCUAAUACCGGAUAACAACAGAUGAUGCCUAUCAACUGUUUAAAAGAUGGUUCUGCUAUCACUCUUGGAUGGACCUGCGGUGCAUUAGCUAGUUGGUAGGGUAACGGCCUACCAAGGCGAUGAUGCAUAGCCAAGUUGAGAGACUGAUCGGCCACAUUGGGACUGAGACACGGCCCAAACUCCUACGGGAGGCAGCAGUG